UAAGCGGCCCGCCUGGGGAGUACGAUCGCAAGAUUAAAACUCAAAGGAAUUGACGGGCCCCGCACAAGCAACGGAGCAUGCGGCUUAAUUCGACGCAACGCGAAGAACCUUACCAAGGCUUGACAUAUACAGGAAUAUGGCAGAGAUGUCAUAGCCGCAAGGUCUGUAUACAGGUGGUGCAUGGUUGUCGUCAGCUCGUGUCGUGAGAUGUUGGGUUAAGUCCCGCAACGAGCGCAACCCUCGUUCUGUGUUGCCAGCAUUUAGUUGGGGACUCACAGGAGACUGCCGGGGUUAACUCGGAGGAAGGUGGGGAUGACGUCAAAUCAUCAUGCCCCUUAUGUCUUGGGCUGCACGCAUGCUACAAUGGCUGGUACAAACGGCUGCAAUACCGCAAGGUGGAGCGAAUCCGAGAAAGCCAGUCUCAGUUCGGAUUGGGGUCUGCAACUCGACCCCAUGAAGUCGGAGUUGCUAGUAAUCGUAGAUCAGCAACGCUACGGUGAAUACGUUCCCGGGGCUUGUACACACCGCCCGUCACAUCACGAAAGUCGGUAACACCCAAAGUCAGUGGCCC
rnacentral:rRNA from 1 species